CCAAUGUGAACGUUACCAAACUGUUGCCUCGGCGGGGUCACGCCCCGGGUGCGUCGCAGCCCCGGAACCAGGCGCCCGCCGGAGGAACCAACCAAACUCUUUCUGUAGUCCCCUCGCGGACGUAUUUCUUACAGCUCUGAGCAAAAAUUCAAAAUGAAUCAAAACUUUCAACAACGGAUCUCUUGGUUCUGGCAUCGAUGAAGAACGCAGCGAAAUGCGAUAAGUAAUGUGAAUUGCAGAAUUCAGUGAAUCAUCGAAUCUUUGAACGCACAUUGCGCCCGCCAGUAUUCUGGCGGGCAUGCCUGUCCGAGCGUCAUUUCAACCCUCGAACCCCUCCGGGGGAUCGGCGUUGGGGAUCGGGACCCCUCACACGGGUGCCGGCCCCGAAAUACAGUGGCGGUCUCGCCGCAGCCUCUCCUGCGCAGUAGUUUGCACAACUCGCACCGGGAGCGCGGCGCGUCCACGUCCGUAAAACACCCAACUUUCUGAAAUGUUGACCUCGGAUCAGGUAGGAAUACCCGCUGAACUUAAGCAUAUCA
rnacentral:rRNA from 1 species